rnacentral:rRNA from 1 species
UACGUAGGGUGCAAGCGUUAAUCGGAAUUACUGGGCGUAAAGCGUGCGCAGGCGGUGAUGUAAGACAGGUGUGAAAUCCCCGGGCUUAACCUGGGAACUGCAUUUGUGACUGCAUCGCUGGAGUGCGGCAGAGGGGGAUGGAAUUCCGCGUGUAGCAGUGAAAUGCGUAGAUAUCUGGAGGAACACCGGUGGCGAAGGCGGCAUCCUGGACCAUGACUGACGCUGAGGAGCGAAAGCCAGGGGAGCAAACGGG